rnacentral:lncRNA from 1 species
UCUACCUUUUGGCUCUAUGCUUCUAUACUUCUCUGUUCCCUUUGUGACCUCAUCACAUGUGUCCUUACUGGUUUCACAUCAGUCCUCUGCAAAAAUGUUAUUUCGAUGAACGCAAGGCCGAGACUAUCUUGUUCACUGUCAUAUCAUCAGCCCCUAGCGAAAUGACUAAGUAUAUAGUAAGAGCUUAAGAAGUAUUUAAUGAAUUGAAUUGAAAUUGAAAUUCCAUAUUCCCUUUGUAAAAGGCAACUGUCCUUGAAAUGAGCAACACGCUAAACCAUGUUACACUAAAGCUAUAUAUUCUCAGGCAAAAUCCUAGAAGGCAAUGUUGGACAAGAAAGUUAUGUACAAAUGGUAUAAAGAAGCUUCAAACAGUAUGGAUGUCUUUGGUUGAGAUUAACUGGAUAUGGUUUCUCAUUACAAAGUUAAAACGUUGUGAAGAGGCAAGAGUGAAUGACGGCAUUACAUCACUAACCACCAGCCACCAUCUUUUGGACUGGUCCAACCUUUGUCUCGACUAUAAUCACAUGGUAUUUUCUGAGCCAAAAGUGUCCAACUGACCCAGAAUUCCUGAGCCACAACACAGAUUACAAGACCAAGCCUUGCCACUUGGCCACCACACCUGACUCUGUUUAAGAUUAAAGGGAAGGAAUGCGGAGGAGGCUUCAUCACUACAAGCAGGAGUGAAAGGACAUGUGCAUAAAACCAAGCUGUGGACAACUAGUUCGCCAUCUCGUCACAAUACCAAUGAGCCAACUUUUAUAUUCGAUGCAGAAAUACUGUCUUAUUUAUCUGAUGUUUUACAGACACCGAGUUUCCACUUAGACAGUUGUCCAGGGCCCUGAAUCACUUACUUUAAUUAUGCUAACACCAGUGAAUGCGGUCAAGAAAUUCCAAGUACCUGAUCUAAUAACACGAUCCAAGUCUUUGCCAUUUCAUGGCCAAUCUUAAGAGUUUCACUUUGAGCAGUUACUCUAAAAGUUUUCUCUUUUUUUCUGUCAUGUAGCAGAAGUGUGCUAUUGGAUACAUCACUGAUUUUAAUUUUUUUUCUUUAGGAAAAGCCAAAAUAAUACUUCAUCCUGUCUUUAAAUACAUAUUAGUGAUGUGUAGCAAAUGAGACAAAAUUUAUAAACUAAAAUGCCACCCAAAUGGUAGUUUGAUGCUUUUUGUUCUGUUUGACUCUGUUGUCAGGAAAACCAGACAUAUGUGUUGUGAAUACAUUUUUUGAAAAAAAAAAAAAAAAAAACCAAGGUCCUUGUUGAGUAAGGUACAAGUUUAUAUUACAAGGAUGAGUCAAAUGAUCCCUCAUAGGCAUGUGGCAAUUAAGCUGAUUUUUUUUUGUUACAUCCCUCUCGCUGAAUUAGCCCUUUUAUAUAAUGUCAUGUAUCCAUCAUUACAAUAUCAUACAGAAAAGUUUCACUGCCCGAAACAUUCUUUGUGCCACAUCUAUUCAUCCCUCCCUCCCUACUAACCCCUGGAAACCACUAAUCUUUUUACUAUCUUCAUAGUUAUGCCAUUCCCAGAAUGUCAUACAGUUGGAAUCAUACAGUAUGUAACCUUUUCAGAUUUGCUUCUUUCACUUAGUAAUACUCAUUGAAAGUUGCUUCGCGCGCGCGCGCGCGUGUGUGUGUGUGUGUGUGUUGACCUGAUGGUUCAUUUCUUUUUAUCACUGAGUAAUAUUCCACUGUGUGGCUGUACCAAUCUGUUUAUACAAUCACCUAUUAAAAAAUAUCUUAGUUGCUUUCCGUUUUUGGCAAUGGUGAUUAAAACUGCUGUAAACACUUAUGUGCAGGUUAUUGCAUAUAGGUUAAGUUUUCAGCUUACUUGGGUAAAUGUUUCGGAGUGAGAUGCUAGAUCAUAUGGUAAGAUUAUGGCUAGCUUAAUAGGAAACUACCAAACUGUCUGGCAAAGCAGCUGUACCAUUAUGGACUCACACCAUCAGUGAAGAAGAGUUCUUGCUACUCCACAUCCUCACUAACAUCUGGUGGUGUAAGUGUUUUGGAUUUUAGCUAUCUUAAUAGGUAUGUAGUUAUAUGUGUUCUCAUUUACAAUUUCCUAAUGAUGUAUAAUGUUGAGCAUCUUUUAAUACGUUUGUUUGCUAUCUUUAGAUCUUUGUUGAGGUGUCUGACAGAUCUUUUGUCCAUUUUUAAUUGGGGUAUGUUUUCUUAAUGUUGAAUAUUAAAAGUUCUUUAUAUAUUUUGGAUAUAAGUUCUUUAUCAGAUGAAUGUUUUACAAAUAUUUUCUACUAGUCUGUGGCUUAUUUUUUCAUUAUUUUCAUAGCAUCAUUUGCAAAGCAUUAGUUUUGAAUUUUAAUACAUUCAAUUUAUCAAUUCUUUUUCUUUCACAGAUAUUUAUUUUGGUGCUAGUCUUUUGUUAAUAAUGCAAAAUAAUACCAUUAAUAAUUAAAUGAUUGAUUUCCUACUAUGAACCAGGCAUUUAUGUAGUCAGACCUUUCCAGUCAUCAAUCUCCCUUAUCUACACAGAUAUAUGUCAACAAAGGAAGGAUUUGGACACUAUGAAUAAAUAUUGUGAAUGGAGCUUGGAAUAAACGAAU